rnacentral:tRNA from 1 species
GGGGUUGUGGCUCAGCUGUAGAGUGCUCACCUUGCCCGUGCGAGACCCUGGGUUCAAUCCUCAGCACCACA